rnacentral:rRNA from 1 species
CCAAUAGCGUAUAUUAAAGUUGUUGCAGUUAAAAAGCUCGUAGUUGGAUUUCGGGGUUGGUAGGUUGGUCAUGCCUCUGGUAUGUACUGGUCUCACUGAUUCCUCCUUCCUGAUGAUCCGUAAUGCAAUUUAUUUGGUGUUGCGGGGAAUUUGGACUGUUCUUUUGCAAAAAUUAGAGUGUUUAAAGCAAGCUAACGCUUGAAUACAUUAGCAUGGAAUAAUGAAAUAGGACGUUCGAUCCUAUUUUGUUGGUUUCUAGGAUUGACGUAAUGAUUAAUAGGGAUAGUUGGGGGCAUUAGUAUUCAAUUGUCAGAGGUGAAAUUCUUGGAUUUAUUGAAGACUAACUACUGCGAAAGCAUUUGCCAAGGAUGUUUUCAUUAAUCAAGAACGAAAGUUAGGGGAUCGAAGACGAUCAGAUACCGUCGUAGUCUUAACCAUAAACUAUGCCGACUAGGGAUCGGAUGACGUUAAUUUUUUAAUGACUCAUUCGGCGCCUUACG